AACCUUAUGGACCUGCGGGCGUAUACCUGCGGAGGGAUCAUUACCGAGUUUACAACUCCCAAACCCCUGUGAACAUACCUAUACGUUGCCUCGGCGGAUCAGCCCGCGCCCUGUAAAAAGGGACGGCCCGCCCGAGGACCCUAAACUCUGUUUUUAGUGGAACUUCUGAGUAAAACAAACAAAUAAAUCAAAACUUUUAGCAACGGAUCU
rnacentral:misc_RNA from 1 species